AGUGAACGCUGGCGGUAGGCCUAACACAUGCAAGUCGAACGGCAGCACAUUACGAUCUUGCUCUUCCGGGUUGCGAUUUGCGGACGGGUGAUGAAUACAUCGUACUCUACUUUUUCGUUUGGGUUCACGUAGCUAAACUUACUCUAAUACCGCAUACCACCUACGGGUGUAAGCAUGGGAUCUUCGGACCUUGCGCGAUUGAAUGAGCCGCUUUCGGAUUAGCUAGUUGGCGGGUUAAAGGCCCACCAUGGCGACGAUCCGUAGCUGGUCUGAGAGGAUGAUGAGCGGCACUGGAAAUGAGACAGGGGCAAGAAGGCUAAGGGAGGGAACAGAGGGGAAUAUUGGACAAUGGGCGCAAACCUGAUCCAGCCAGAACGCGUGGGUGAAGAAAGCCUUCGGGUUGUAAAGACCUUUUGUUGGGAAAGAAAAGCAGCAGGUUAAGACCCAGCUGUACUGACGGUACCAAAAGAAUAAGCACCGGCUAACUUCGUG
rnacentral:rRNA from 1 species